GAUAAUUUAGGCACCUAUUUUGAAAAUUAACACCGAAGAAAUAAAGGACAACUCUUUGAAUAAGACAAAAAUUACCAAUAUGCUGUGGAAAUUACCCAAAAUAUAAAUGCGCUCAUCGGGCACAAAUACACAUGAAAAGCUGAAAAAAUAACAAAAUCUGACAGAGUUUCUUCAAUUAGACAAAGUGACGUCACAGCGAGCAAAGUGCUUCUUCUUAUUACCCGCAUUUUAAUUCGCGUACGAUGUUGUGCUGAUAAGGUCUGUUAACGACACAGAGAGAGAGCUAAGAAAAUAAAAGAGAGUUCCAAUGGAAUGGGAGGAGAAAGUACCAUUAAGUGGGAGCGGCGAAAGAGAAAUAAAGAGAGAGAGCGCAAUGCGGUAUUUUCCAUCAGUGAGCAGCAAAAAUGCAUUUGCAGCAAAACAAGAAUAACAAAAAGCAGGAAAUGUAGUACUAAAAAUCAUUUUUCAUAUUCCCUAGUCUGUGAAUCAUACAAUUAUGCUACCUAUUGGCGAUGUGCUGAUCUGACGUUGAGUUUUUACCCGUGUUUUCCCUUUCCUAAUUUAAAGUUCAGGUUCAUUGCCUUGGAUGAGCUUAUGGGUUUAUUUUUACAGUUAGACAUCGCCGCGAUAGGGGAAAAAAACUAUAUGUGCAUACAAAUUUAUAAAACGGGAAAUGUAACAUUGGUGCAAGGAAUUAAAAAUAUUUUCUGCGGUGUAGCCCUUGUGGAUGCCAAGUGACAUGCAAUCCCACUGCCAUUGUUGCGCAUCACGGCGCACUAUCUGCAAGUCGAGUCGAAUCGAAUCGAGGAAGUACUCCACAUUGUCCAACGGCUGACUUAGCAUAUUUGGCGAGAAAAUCUAAGCACUGAAACGGAAUCCCACACGAUGGGCCUUGACGAGGUGGCAAUAGUUAGAUGUUGCCUUUACCAAUGCGUGACAGGUGACAAGUUACAGAUUAUUGAACAAUUUUUUCUUAUGAUUUUUUUUAACCUCUGAUCUACCUUGAGGUCUAUGUUAUGUUAUUACUAUUAUUUUAAAAAGCAC